rnacentral:rRNA from 1 species
UACGAAAGGGGGGCUAGCGUUGUUCGGAAUUACUGGGCGUAAAGCGCACGUAGGCGGAUCUUUAAGUCAGGGGUGAAAUCCUGGAGCUCAACUCCAGAACUGCCUUUGAUACUGGGGAUCUCGAGUCCGGAAGAGGUGAGUGGAACUCCGAGUGUAGAGGUGAAAUUCGUAGAUAUUCGGAAGAACACCAGUGGCGAAGGCGGCUCACUGGUCCGGUACUGACGCUGAGGUGCGAAAGCGUGGGGAGCAAACAGG